UUUUUUCUUAAAAAAUCUCAAGAGUUAUUUGAAACAGUUCAUUAAGUUCAAAAUUCAACGAAAUUCGAGGUAUCACAUAAAAAGAGUUGGUGAACAAAUUGUAGCAAACCGUUCAACAAUUCGCACUCAUGGUUUUUCUUAGGAUUUUCAUGAGUUAACAAUGACGAAAAGUCGUGGAAAAGACAAUAACAAUAAGAAGAAAAUAUGAAAAAAGUCACAUGAUAUUGGUUUCCGUGGUUGGAUUAAAGCUCAGAUAGCUCAAUAGCUGUGGGAAGUGAUUUUGACUUGAUUGGCUGGUUGGUAUGAAUUCAAAAACAUUCAAGUGUGCUUUAAAUCAUUGGUUGUAUUCUUGAAUAUUAAGAAAGUUAAAUUUUACCAUUGUCAAGACAACCUCGGAUCCGUAGAUUGAUGAUUCUAAAAGAUUUGGAACAUGUUGUAUGGUCAAUCUAUAGAAUAUCGAGGGUCCAUUCAGAGUUUUGAUUGAAGCUUUCACGAAAGAUAUGCAUGAUUUAUGAAAACGAUUGUGUUAUGAUAGGUUGCUUUGAAAUUAGCAUCAACUAAAUUGUGAAAGAUUUUCUCACAAAAUAA